UUAGAAAGGUAGGAAUCGAACCUACACCUGGGAGAUCAAAACCCCCUGCAAUUCCAUUUUACCACUCUCUA
rnacentral:tRNA from 1 species